CACCAGCGCCACAAGUGGGAGCCGCAAUUAUUGGGCCUAAAGCGUCCGUAGCUCGUCUAUUAAAUUUUCUGUGAAAUCAUGCAGCCUAACUGAAUGGUGUGCAGGAAAGACUGGUAGACUAGGGACCGGGAGGAGUCAGAGGUAUUCCUUGGGGAGCGGUAAAAUGCUAUAAUCCUUGGAAGACCACCUGUGGUGAAGACGUCUGACUAGAACGGAUCCGACAGUGAGGGACGAAAGCCAGGGGAGCAAACCGGAUUAGAUACCCGAGUAGUCCUGGCCGUAAACGCUGCGAGCUAGGUGUUGCGCAUUCUUCGUGAUUGCGCAGUGUCGAAGCGAAGGUGUUAAGCUCGCCGCCUGGGAAGUAUGGUCGCAAGACUGAAACUUAA
rnacentral:rRNA from 1 species